UACGGGGGAUGCAAGCGUUAUCCGGAUUUAUUGGGUUUAAAGGGUGCGUAGGCUGUGAGGUAAGUCAGCGGUGAAAUGCCCCCGCUCAACGGGGUGAAGUGCCAUUGAUACUGCCUUGCUGGAAUGCGGAUGCCGUGGGAGGAAUGUGUGGUGUAGCGGUGAAAUGUAUAGAUAUCACACAGAACACCGAUUGCGAAGGCAUCUCACGAAUCCGCUAUUGACGCUGAUGCACGAAAGCGUGGGUAUCAAACAGG
rnacentral:rRNA from 1 species